GGGUGUGAUCGUACCAGCACUAAUGCACCGGAUCCUAUCAGAACUCCGAAGUUAAGCGUGCUGGGGCGAGAGUAGUACUAGGAUGGGUGACCACCUGAGAAGUCCUCAUGUUGCACCCC
rnacentral:rRNA from 1 species